rnacentral:rRNA from 1 species
ACAAUGGAGAGUUUGAUCCUGGCUCAGGAUGAACGCUAGCGGGAGGCCUAACACAUGCAAGCCGAGCGGUAGAGAUUCUUCGGAAUCUUGAGAGCGGCGUACGGGUGCGGAACACGUGUGCAACCUGCCUUUAUCUGGGGGAUAGCCUUUCGAAAGGAAGAUUAAUACCCCAUAAUAUAUUGAAUGGCAUCAUUUGAUAUUGAAAACUCCGGUGGAUAGAGAUGGGCACGCGCAAGAUUAGAUAGUUGGUGAGGUAACGGCUCACCAAGUCUACGAUCUUUAGGGGGCCUGAGAGGGUGAUCCCCCACACUGGUACUGAGACACGGACCAGACUCCUACGGGAGGCAGCAGUGAGGAAUAUUGGACAAUGGGUGAGAGCCUGAUCCAGCCAUCCCGCGUGAAGGACGACGGCCUUAUGGGUUGUAAACUUCUUUUGUAUAGGGAUAAACCUACUCUCGUGAGAGUAGCUGAAGGUACUAUACGAAUAAGCACCGGCUAACUCCGUGCCAGCAGCCGCGGUAAUACGGAGGGUGCAAGCGUUAUCCGGAUUUAUUGGGUUUAAAGGGUCCGUAGGCGGAUCUGUAAGUCAGUGGUGAAAUCUCACAGCUUAACUGUGAAACUGCCAUUGAUACUGCAGGUCUUGAGUGUUGUUGAAGUAGCUGGAAUAAGUAGUGUAGCGGUGAAAUGCAUAGAUAUUACUUAGAACACCAAUUGCGAAGGCAGGUUACUAAGCAACAACUGACGCUGAUGGACGAAAGCGUGGGGAGCGAACAGGAUUAGAUACCCUGGUAGUCCACGCCGUAAACGAUGCUAACUCGUUUUUGGGCUUUCGGGUUCAGAGACUAAGCGAAAGUGAUAAGUUAGCCACCUGGGGAGUACGUUCGCAAGAAUGAAACUCAAAGGAAUUGACGGGGGCCCGCACAAGCGGUGGAUUAUGUGGUUUAAUUCGAUGAUACGCGAGGAACCUUACCAAGGCUUAAAUGGGAAAUGACAGGUUUAGAAAUAGACUUUUCUUCGGACAUUUUUCAAGGUGCUGCAUGGUUGUCGUCAGCUCGUGCCGUGAGGUGUUAGGUUAAGUCCUGCAACGAGCGCAACCCCUGUCACUAGUUGCCAUCAUUAAGUUGGGGACUCUAGUGAGACUGCCUACGCAAGUAGAGAGGAAGGUGGGGAUGACGUCAAAUCAUCACGGCCCUUACGCCUUGGGCCACACACGUAAUACAAUGGCCAGUACAGAGGGCAGCUACACAGCGAUGUGAUGCAAAUCUCGAAAGCUGGUCUCAGUUCGGAUUGGAGUCUGCAACUCGACUCUAUGAAGCUGGAAUCGCUAGUAAUCGCGCAUCAGCCAUGGCGCGGUGAAUACGUUCCCGGGCCUUGUACACACCGCCCGUCAAGCCAUGGAAGUCUGGGGUACCUGAAGUCGGUGACCGUAAUAGGAGCUGCCUAGGGUAAAACAGGUAACUAGGGCUAAGUCGUAACAAGGUAGCCGUACCGGAAGGUGCGGCUGGAACAUCUCAUUUUAGA